rnacentral:rRNA from 1 species
AUUGAACGCUGGCGGCAGGCCUAACACAUGCAAGUCGAGCGGAUGAGAAGAGCUUGCUCUUCGACUCAGCGGCGGACGGGUGAGUAAUGCCUAGGAAUCUGCCUGGUAGUGGGGGACAACGUUUCGAAAGGAACGCUAAUACCGCAUACGUCCUACGGGAGAAAGCAGGGGACCUUCGGGCCUCGCGCUAUCAGAUGAGCCUAGGUCGGAUUAGCUAGUUGGUGAGGUAAUGGCUCACCAAGGCGACGAUCCGUAACUGGUCUGAGAGGAUGAUCAGUCACACUGGAACUGAGACACGGUCCAGACUCCUACGGGAGGCAGCAGUGGGGAAUAUUGGACAAUGGGCGAAAGCCUGAUCCAGCCAUGCCGCGUGUGUGAAGAGGGUCUUCGGAUUGUAAAGCACUUUAAGUUGGGAGGAAGGGCAGUAAGUUAAUACCUUGCUGUUUUGACGUUACCGACAGAAUAAGCACCGGCUAACUCUGUGCCAGCAGCCGCCGUAAGAC